GACGAACGCUGGCGGCGUGCUUAACACAUGCAAGUCGAGCGGUAAGGCCCUUCGGGGUACACGAGCGGCGAACGGGUGAGUAACACGUGGGUGACCUGCCUCUAGCUCUGGGAUAAGCCUGGGAAACUGGGUCUAAUACCGGAUAUGACUCCACGGCGCAUGUUGUGGGGUGGAAAGCCUUGUGCGGCUAGAGAUGGGCCCGCGGCCUAUCAGCUUGUUGGUGGGGUGAUGGCCUACCAAGGCGACGACGGGUAGCCGGCCUGAGAGGGCGACCGGCCACACUGGGACUGAGACACGGCCCAGACUCCUACGGGAGGCAGCAGUGGGGAAUCUUGCGCAAUGGGCGAAAGCCUGACGCAGCGACGCCGCGUGAGGGAUGACGGCC
rnacentral:rRNA from 1 species